GGGCCCGCACAAGCGGUGGAGUAUGUGGUUUAAUUCGAUGCAACGCGAAGAACCUUACCAGGGUUUGACAUCCUGCGAAUCUCUUGGAAACGAGAGAGUGCCUUCGGGAACGCAGUGACAGGUGGUGCAUGGCUGUCGUCAGCUCGUGUCGUGAGAUGUUGGGUUAAGUCCCGCAACGAGCGCAACCCUUGUCCUUAGUUGCCAGCCUUAAGUUGGGCACUCUAGAGAGACCGCCGGUGAUAAACCGGAGGAAGGUGUGGAUGACGUCAAGUCAUCAUGCCCCUUACAUCCUGGGCUACACACGUACUACAAUGCUACGGACAAAGAGCAGCAAGUUCGCGAGGACAAGCAAAUCUCAUAAACCGUGGCUCAGUUCAGAUCGUAGGCUGCAACUCGCCUACGUGAAGGAGGAAUCGCUAGUAAUCGCAGGUC
rnacentral:rRNA from 1 species